GAUGAAGUUCAAGAGGAACCCAUAUUGGCUGAAUACGGGAAUUUACAAGAACAUAGGGUUGCGAUGACUCGCUACAAUAAGUGGCGAAAACAAAAUUGUUCAGCUCGCAAUGUCCUUCUUAGCACUAUGCACAAAGAACUCAUACCUACGUAUGAAGUGCAUGAUACCGCUAAGGGAAUCUGGGAAGCACUGACAAAUGCCUAUGCGCAGAAGUCAGAUGCGAAAGUUCGGGUUAUGGAAUUAGAAUUCCAGGAGUAUAGGAUACCAGUCGGCUGCCCCAUCAAAGAUCAUAUCUGUAAGAUGGAGCAAAUGGUAGGUGCCCUUGGGAAUGUUGGGUGUAAAUUGACUGAAAAUCAAAAGAUUAUAGCCAUGCACCGUUCCUUGCCUGAAUCUUGGGCCCCAAUUAAAAGAAUUCUGAACCAUACUGAUUCUAUCACUACGUUCAGAGACUUUUGUGGCCACUUGGUACGUGAGGUUGAAAUGAAUGCAAUUCAGCCAGGUUCGGCCAAGGCCUUUGUAGCAAAGACCCAUAAGCGGAAAGCUAACAAGAAACGGUUCAAAGCUCGCAAGAAGGAGAAAAAGAAUAACUAAGAACAGAAGACCACUGCACCUCCUCCAAAUCUCGAGAAGGGGAAUGGAAAGAAGAAGCAGAAAAAGACAAAUAUAGUUUGCUUUGUCUGUGGAAAUUCCGGCCAUUAUGCUCGACAGUGUGCCCAUAAAAAGACGGCGCAACAAAGCACGUGACAUGGAGUCGUCGAGGACUUGAGGAAUUCUGGCCUAUAGCCAAUGGAAGUUACAAGGUGUAUAUGGGAAAUAAUGCUGUCGAAGACGUACUAGGGAUUGACCUUUCCCAUCUCCGUACGCGCAUAGGGCGAACAAUAAUCCUCCGUGAUACUCUUUAUGCACCAGGGAUGCGUCGGAAUUUAAUUUCUGUUUCUAGGUUAUUAUUUGAUGGUUUUGAUAUUCGAUUUUUCAGGACAAGAGUUUCUUUGAGACUGAAUAACCUCAUUUUUGUAUGGGGAAAUUUAAUUUCAGAUUUAUUUAUUCUAGACGUAGA